AAAUAUAGAAAAAUAAAGAAAGACCAACGACCAAUUUCUAGUCCCAAACAAACUAAUAUAUUCUUGUCGCUGUCCUAUUUAUUAAUAUAGAACGAGGCAAAAAAAAAAAAAAAAAAAAUGAAUCUUCUAAGAACGUAACAACUGUCCCCAACGAACGACAUCGUAUGAGAGCUUGAAAGAACCUUCCAUGGACCUUCUCAGUCCAUUACCUUUAUAAACCCCUCUCACGAGUAUUUAUAUUUCUCCACUUCAUUCGUUUCCCA
rnacentral:lncRNA from 1 species